UUUGCUGGCGGNUAAUUUUNGGCAAANCAGUCGAACGAGAAACUCUUCGGAGUGGAAAGUGGCGAAAGGGUGAGUAACGCGUGAGUAACUUGCCUCCAAAUCGAGGAUAACAGUUGGAAACGACUGCUAAUACUGGAUGUGAUAAAAGAAUCGCAUGUUUCUUUUAUUAAAGAUCCGUUGUUUGGAGAUAGGCUCGCGUCCCAUUAGUUUGUUGGUAAGGUAACGGCUUACCAAGACUUUGACGGGUAGGUGGUCUGAGAGGAUGGUCACCCACACUGGGACUGAGACACUGCCCAGACUCCUGCGGGAGGCUGCAGUCGAGAAUCUUCCGCAAUGCGCGAAAGCGUGACGGAGCAAUGCCGCGUGAAUGAUGAAGGCCUUCGGGUCGUAAAGUUCUGUCAGGGGUGAAGAACAUUGACAUUAACCCCAGAGGAAGCCACGGCUAACUACGUGCCAGCAGCCGCGGUAAUACGUAGGUGGCGAGCGUUAUUCGGAUUUACUGGGCGUAAAGGAUCCGUAGGGGGUCCAUUAAGUCUGAUGUGAAAUUUUCGGGGCUCACCCCCGAAGCUGCAUUUGGAAACUGAUGGACUCGAGUCCGU
rnacentral:rRNA from 1 species